UACGGGGGGGGCAAGCGUUGUUCGGAAUUACUGGGCGUAAAGGGCUCGUAGGCGGCCAACUAAGUCAUGCGUGAAAUCCCUCGGCUUAACCGGGGAACUGCGUCUGAUACUGGAUGGCUUGAGUGUGGGAGAGGGAUGCGGAAUUCCGGGUGUAGCGGUGAAAUGCGUAGAUAUCUGGAGGAACACCGGUGGCGAAGGCGGCGAUCUGGGUCGAUACUGACGCUGAGGUGCGAAAGCGUGGGGAGCAAACAGG
rnacentral:rRNA from 1 species